AUGGACCAGUCCCUUCUUUUCCUCUCUAACCUUCUGCUUCUAAGCCUGAACUCCUUAAGUUCAGGCCCAAAGCAUUUCCAUUGGAGAUUAUUAAAGCUGAUUACAUCAUUUUCUGGAAUAAAAGAUUUAACAUUUCUGGGCUGCCAUUCUGAUUCCACAUUAUUUCAGUCAAAUCAAGAUCAGUCUAGAAGAGGAGAAAGUAACAUCAGCAUGGAGGAAAGCACCAACUCCACAGAAGAAACACAAAUCAGCAUGCGGUACCUUUUUGCGAAGCGACCAUCAUAAAAGAUUACAGACUCAAUGGAAAAAAAAGAAAACCACAGAAAUAUUUGCCUGUAUGUGAAGAAGCUUAAGUAUAACCGUUGUUUACAGUUUAAAUCUAUUCCUAGGUAUGCCACCUGUCUUCUUAACACACUUUAAACAAGUAUAUACAUUUUCUCAAAAGUUAAUAAUUUUUAGGAAAAAAUUGUUAUGUAUCCUCAUGCUUAAACAGUGAAAUAUUCCUUAAAGAUUAUAAGCAUUUAUACCAUAACAUAUAUGAAAACUGCCCUUUCCGCAACUCCUUCUUCCCCCUGCCAACUAAACAGACACCUAAUCUGAAACUCAAUAGAAAUAUUCCUAUGUUAACUCCGUGGGUAAUUGAUCCAGAGGAUUUGGAAAUUGCUGGUAUUAACUGAAAAGAGGAAAGUAGGGCUGUGGUCUGCUGAGCAUGCCUGAGUUGGUGGCAUAUAUGCCUUAUCCGAAUCAAUACCUUCCUAUUCUUUCUUUAAAGUUGCACAGAGUUCAUUCAAAACUGUUAUUGAUGUAAUGUGUGUGCUCAUGCUCAGCUGCUCUGUUGUGUUCGACUCUUUGCGACCCCAUGAACUGUAGCUCACCAGGCUCCUCUGUCCAUGGGAUUUUCCAACCUAGAAUACUGGGGUGGGUUGCCAUUUCCUUCUCCAGGGUGUCUUCCUGUCCAAGGGAUUGAACCCGUGCCUCCUGUGCUUCCUGCAUUGGCAGGCAGGUUCUUUACCAGUAGCACCACCAGGGAAGCCCAAUGUGUGUGUGUGCGUGCGUGUAUGUGUGUGUGUGUAUCCCUUAUUUGAGGUUAUAUACUUGCAAUGAGAUAGCAAUAUAACUAGUUUAUUUAAAAGGCGUGGAACUUUAAGCACCAUAACUCUGGAAAAUGGGGUGGUUAUAGCACCACUGUCUGUCUUCAGUAAAAUUUCUAUGUUCCACUUCUACCUGCAUCCUCAAGUACUGGGUAAUAAUACAUCCAGCAGACCAAAGAGUAGUCUAAUGAGUUUUGAAAGUUGUUUCUUUUGAGAACUGGGCUUUGCUCACAGUAGAAUAGUUAAGUAAUCACCGCUAUCGUGUGAAUCCAGCCUAAUUGCAAUGUUUGGGUCCAUAUGGAAACAAUUUGGCAUGGGAGACAAUUACUGCAAGUAUAAAUGUAGUUUAAUUCUUUGGCAAGUGGUAAUGACAUCAGAGACAGUCACCCGUCAUCACUCUACUUACCCAAGAGUGUUUAUUAAGCACCCGCAGGCCACUAGCUCUGUAUGUGGAUUCUUCUAUUAACUGAAGUGGGCAGAGAGCUAGCCCUUUGGGCACCUGCAAGAGAGGACAGAUAGCUGAUCAUCAGAUGCACAAGCUGAACAUUCUCAACUCUGCUGAUUUUCAAACAUCAGGACUUUGCUGGCUGGGCAAGCUGUUAUAGACAAUGUGAACUCUAGGACAAAAGAUGGAAGACUUUGAUUCCAUGGGGAGUUAAAGGCCUUAAUGCCUCAGUCAGGUAUUGUCCUAUGUGUCUAUGAAUACAAAAAUACAUUUAGGAUCAACAGGAAAUACUGUCAAGAAUGUGAACAGGCCGCCCCCUCCUUCCACUAGCCAACCACAGAUUCCUAGGAGAAAGCUCAAGAAUAUCAGAUUUGGCUGGGAUCUUUUAGGUCACUGAACCAACUUCCCAGUUACCUGGAAGUCUUCAUCAGCUGAGAUGACCACUGACAGUGUUAAAAACAAGUAUAUAAAAGCUGAAAUAAAAUGAUAUUUUAAUAUACCUCUGAGUGAUAC
ensembl:lncRNA